rnacentral:rRNA from 1 species
ACGGGAGGCAGCAGUGGGGAAUAUUGGACAAUGGAGGAAACUCUGAUCCAGCGACGCCGCGUGAGUGAAGAAGUAUUUCGGUAUGUAAAGCUCUAUCAGCAGGGAAGAUAAUGACGGUACCUGACUAAGAAGCCCCGGCUAACUACGUGCCAGCAGCCGCGGUAAUACGUAGGGGGCAAGCGUUAUCCGGGUUUGCUGGGUGUAAAGGGAGCGUAGACGGCUGUGCAAGUCUGAAGUGAAAUCCGCGGGCUCAACCCGCGAACUGCUUUGGAAACUGUAUAGCUGGAGUGCAGGAGAGGUAAGUGGAAUUCCUAGUGUAGCGGUGAAAUGCGUAGAUAUUAGGAGGAACACCAGUGGCGAAGGCGGCUUACUGGACUGUAACUGACGUUGAGGCUCGAAAGCGUGGGGAGCAAACAGGAUUAGAUACCCUGGUA